GAAUAUUUUUUGAUAGUAUAAAUAGACGUAUGGUGAAUCAAUCAUAAUACGUGGGUGAGAGUUGCCCGGUAUUGGCGGCGUUGAAGCCCUGGUCUCAUGCAAUAGAACCUGUGAACCGUGUCAGGUCGGGAACGAAGCAGCACUAAGCAGUAACUUCUAUGUGCCAUGAGGUGACCUGGGUGGAGCGGCCUUUACCGGGCAGCUCUUACGAAAAACGAAUAUUC
rnacentral:SRP_RNA from 1 species